GAUGAACGCUGGCGGCGUGCCUAACACAUGCAAGUCGAACGGAAAGGCCAUGAGUUUGUGGCUCUCUUGUUUGGCGAGGGGGGGUGAGUAACGCGUGGAUAACCCACCUAUAAGUGUGGGAAAACCUCGGGAAAGCGGCUAUUACACCGGAUGAUAUUUUGAUGCGUGUGGGUGGAAAGUGAAAGUCGGCCUUUGGGUAUGUUCUAGCUGGUUCCGCGCUGCAUUGGGUAGUUGGUAAGGUAACGGCUUUCCAAGGCAAGGAUGCCUGGCCGACCUGAGAGGGUGAUCGGCCACACUGGAACUGAGACACGGUCCAGACUCCUACGGGAGGCAGCAGUAGGGAAUCGUCCGCAAUGGGCGAAAGCCUGACGGAGCAACGCCGCGUGAGUGAUGAAGGUCUUCGGAUCGUAAAACUCUGUUAUUAGGGAAGAACAUAUGUGUAAGUAACUGUGCACAGCUUGACGGUACCUAAUCAGAAAGCCACGGCUAACUACGUG
rnacentral:rRNA from 1 species